GAAAUGUGAUAAGUAAUGUGAAUUGCAGAAUUCAGUGAAUCAUCGAAUCUUUGAACGCACCUUGCGCUCCUUGGUAUUCCUUGGAGCAUGCCUGUUUGAGUAUCAUGAAAUCUUCAAAGUAAAUCUUUUGUUAACUCAAUUGGUUUCUACUUUGGUAUUGGAGGUCUUUGCAGCUUCACACCUGCUCCUCUUUGUUCAUUAGCUGGAUCUCAGUGUUAUGCUUGGUUCCACUCGGCGUGAUAAGUUAUCUAUCGCUGAGGACACUGUAAAAGGUGGCCAAGGUAAAUGCGGAUGAACCGCUUCUAAUAGUCCAUUGACUUGGACAAUACUUUUAUGAUCUGAUCUCAAAUCAGGUAGGACUACCCGCUGAACUUAAGC
rnacentral:misc_RNA from 1 species